AUUCAGUUGAUGAGUCCGAAACAGGACGAAACGUGCAUUCUGGAU
rnacentral:hammerhead_ribozyme from 1 species